UCGAUUGAGUUUGAUCAUGGCUCAGGACGAACGCUGGCGGCGUGCUUAACACAUGCAAGUCGAACGGUGAAGCCCCUUCGGGGGCGGAUCAGUGGCGAACGGGUGAGUAACACGUGGGCAACCUGCCCCUAGCUCUGGGAUAACCCCGGGAAACCGGGGCUAAUACCGGAUAUGGCCUCGGUGGACAUCCACUUUGGUGGAAAGUUUUUCGGCUAGGGAUGGGCCCGCGGCCUAUCAGCUUGUUGGUGAGGUAACGGCCCACCAAGGCGACGACGGGUAGCCGGCCUGAGAGGGCGACCGGCCACACUGGGACUGAGACACGGCCCAGACUCCUACGGGAGGCAGCAGUGGGGAAUAUUGCGCAAUGGGCGAAAGCCUGACGCAGCGACGCCGCGUGAGGGACGAAGGCCUUCGGGUUGUAAACCUCUUUCAGCAGGGACGAAGCGAAAGUGACGGUACCUGCAGAAGAAGCACCGGCCAACUACGUGCCAGCAGCCGCGGUAAUACGUAGGGUGCAAGCGUUGUCCGGAAUUAUUGGGCGUAAAGAGCUCGUAGGCGGUCUGUCACGUCGGCUGUGAAAACCCGAGGCUCAACCUCGGGCCUGCAGUCGAUACGGGCAGACUAGAGUUUGGUAGGGGAGACUGGAAUUCCUGGUGUAGCGGUGAAAUGCGCAGAUAUCAGGAGGAACACCGGUGGCGAA
rnacentral:rRNA from 1 species